AGUGAACGCUGGCGGCAGGCCUAAUACAUGCAAGUCGAACGGCAGCACAGCAGAGCUUGCUCUGUGGGUGGCGAGUGGCGGACGGGUGAGGAAUACGUGGGAAUCUGCCCAGUCGUGGGGGAUAACGUAGGGAAACUUACGCUAAUACCGCAUGCGCCCUUCGGGGAAAGCCGGGGACCUUCGGGCCUGGCGCGAUUGGAUGAGCCCACGUCGGAUUAACUAGUUGGCGGGGUAAAGGCCCACCAAGGCGACGAUCCGUAGCUGGUCUGAGAGGAUGAUCAGCCACACUGGAACUGAGACACGGUCCAGACUCCUACGGGAGGCAGCAGUAGGGAAUAUUGGACAAUGGGCGCAAGCCUGAUCCAGCCAUGCCGCGUGAGUGAAGAAGGCCCUCGGGUUGUAAAGCUCUUUUGUCCGGAAAGAAAAGCGCCGGGUUAAUACCCUGGUGUCCUGACGGUACCGGAAGAAUAAGCACCGACUAACUUCGUGCCAGCAGCCGCGGUAAU
rnacentral:rRNA from 1 species